rnacentral:lncRNA from 1 species
UUAUGAACUCUGUUUUGUGUUCAUUUUAUCUAUUUGCCAACUGCAAUUCACUUUCAUCUUUAAUUCCCACAUCUCACUUCUGCCCUUCACUAUACCUGGUGUCCUGAAUCCACAGCACCACAGAUCACUUUUUCUAGGAAAGAACUAUUUGUUGUUCUGCCUUGAAGGGAGCCAAUCAGUAAGCUUCCCCUCAGCCACGCAGGAUGGAAGACACAGCUCUUGGAUGCUAACAACCACUAGCUGCCCCGACUUCCUAAAGCCCAGAGGCUUGUGAGGGUUUUGCAGGAAGCAGACACCAUCACCAUCAAAGAUAUACCACACAGGUAAAUGCCUUCUGGGACAUCAUCUCCUCUGCAAGUGGUCAAAAUGGAUUCCACAACCUUACAAGGCUGUCCUUCACUCUUGAUCCAUCCAUGGAGACCUUCAGCAGAAUUUAGUGACACCUGAAUAUGGUGUGUAUUUCAUUCCAGGCAAUCAGCCACUCCCGAAACAACUACUAUUCUGAUUAAAAUCACCAUGGAUGACUUUGUCUGUUCUAGAAAUUCAUGCAAUUAAACACCUGAAACAGAAGGGGAUUCAACAGGGGAACAUCUUUUGUGCCAGGACUCAGCUGAGUUAUUGCAUUUCCUAAUCCAAAAAAGCAGAUUUCAUUAUUUUAUGCAAAGACAAAUCUUGUUAAAUGUCUGUAUUAUUUUUUCUUCUGAAAAGAAAGAGUCUACUCCUUUCUAAUACCACUUUGCAAUCAUUAAAACAUAUAAAUUAAAAAAAAUUGUCUGUAAACUCGAAGUUUGUUCAGAAGCAAAAUAUCAACCUCACAAUGAGAAA